CUAUGCUACAUGGGGAGCCAGCGGUGCCCUGUAACCUGCAAACCGCUAUAGCAGGAUGGAUGCCAGGCAGCGGGUCGUGCUUCAGUUAUCCUGAUGUGAUAUGUGGUGUUGACACUUUCCAUUUUGCGCAAUAAAAGGUUGGUAAACCCCGUCAGGCCCGGAAGGGAGCAGCGGUAGCCGAUUCAUUUAUGUGCCGCAAAAUCACCGAAAGCGAGCUGUCAAUCAUUAUCAGGUGACAAAAAGCUGAUUCAAUGCCUGGUGCAUAG
rnacentral:SRP_RNA from 1 species